GUGGCGGUGUAGUCCCAGGUCGCGUCGGCGUCGAGGAGGGAGUCCUCGCCGAAGCGGUCGCCGUCGGCGAGGACCGCGAUGGUGAUGUCGUCGCCGUACGGGCCCUCGGACAGCUGGCUGAUGCGGCCGUGCGCGAUCAGGUGGAUCUCCUCGGCGGGGACACCCCGCUCCACCAGGACCUCGCCCGCGGUGAAGUCGCGCUGUACGCAGCGGUCGGCGAGGGCGGCCAGGACGUCGUCGUCGUCGAACCCCCGCAGCAGGGCGAGUUCGCCGAGCUCGCGCGGGAUGACGCGGACGCGGGCGCCGUCCUGGACGAACUCGACGCGCCCGUCUCCGACGGUGUAGCUGAGCCUGCGGUUGACCCGGUACGCACCGCCCUUGGUCUCCACCCAGGGGAGCAUGCGCAGCAGCCACCGGGAGGUGAUCUCCUGCAUCUGCGGCGCGGACUUGGUGGUACUGGCGAGCUUCCGGGCGGCUGCGGUGCUGAGGGACUGCUG
rnacentral:antisense_RNA from 1 species